rnacentral:misc_RNA from 1 species
GAUGAAGAACGUAGCGAAUUGCGAUAAGUAAUGUGAAUUGCAGAUUUUCAGUGAAUCAUCGAAUCUUUGAACGCACCUUGCGCUCCUUGGUAUUCCGAGGAGCAUGCCUGUUUGAGUGUCAUUAAUAUAUCAACCUUCUCUUUUUUGAGUUGUUUGGAUGUGGGGGUUUGCUGGCCUCUUAAAUGAUUCAGCUCCCCUGAAAUGCAUUAGCAGAACAACCUGUUCAUUAGCGUGAUAAUUAUCUAUGCUAUUGAAUGUGAGGGCAGUUCAGCUUUCUAACCGUCCUUGGACAAUUCAUCAUUAAUGUGACCUCAAAUCAGGUAGGACUACCCGCUGAACUUAAGCAUAUCAAUAAGCGGAGGA